CCUAAGUUCGGAUUAACUAAGUGGUGAGGUAUGCUCACCAAGGCGACGAUCCGUAACUUGUUUGAGAGGAUGAUCAGUCACCCUGGAACUGAGACACCGUCCAGACUCCUACCGGAGGCAGCAGUGGGGAAUAUUGGACAAUGGGCGAAACCUGAUCCAGCCAUGCCGCGUGUGUGAAGAAGGUCUUCGGAUUGUAAAGCACUUUAAGUUGGGAGGAAGGGCAUUAACCUAAUACGUUAGUGUUUUGACGUUACCGACAGAAUAAGCACCGGCUAACUCUGUGCCAGCAGCCGCGGUAAUACAGAGGGUGCAAGCGUUAAUCGGAAUUACUGGGCGUAAAGCGCGCGUAGGUGGUUUGUUAAGUUGGAUGUGAAAUCCCCGGGCUCAACCUGGGAACUGCAUUCAAAACUGACUGACUAGAGUAUGGUAGAGGGUGGUGGAAUUUCCUGUGUAGCGGUGAAAUGCGUAGAUAUAGGAAGGAACACCAGUGGCGAAGGCGACCACCUGGACUAAUACUGACACUGAGGUGCGAAAGCGUGGGGAGCGAACAGGAUUAGAUACCCUGGUAGUCCACGCCGUAAACGAUGUCAACUAGCCGUUGGGAGCCUUGAGCUCUUAGUGGCGCAGCUAACGCAUUAAGUGACCGCCUGGGAGACGCCG
rnacentral:rRNA from 1 species